rnacentral:rRNA from 1 species
UGGGGAAUAUUGGACAAUGGGCGCAAGCCUGAUCCAGCCAUGCCGCGUGAGUGACGAAGGCCUUAGGGUUGUAAAGCUCUUUUGGCGGGGAAGAUAAUGACGGUACCCGCAGAAUAAGCUCCGGCUAACUUCGUGCCAGCAGCCGCGGUAAUACGAAGGGAGCUAGCGUUGUUCGGAAUCACUGGGCGUAAAGCGCACGUAGGUGGGCAGUUAAGUCAGGGGUGAAAGCCCGGGGCUCAACCUCGGAACUGCCUUUGAUACUGUUAGUCUCGAGUCCGAUAGAGGUGAGUGGAAUUCCUAGUGUAGAGGUGAAAUUCGUAGAUAUUCGGAAGAACACCAGUGGCGAAGGCGGCUCACUGGACGUGUAUUGACGCUGAGGUACGAAAGCGUGGGGAGCAAACAGGAUUAGAUACCCAAGUAGUCCCUGAGCGGGCUGGCAAGGCGCAU